rnacentral:rRNA from 1 species
CGGAUUCUGGCUCAGGAUGAACGCUGGCGGCGUGCUUAACACAUGCAAGUCGAACGAAGCAACUUGUCACGAUCCCUCGGGGUGACGACUUGUGACUGAGUGGCGGACGGGUGAGUAACGCGUGGGUAACCUACCUGUACAGGGGGAUAACAGUUGGAAACGACUGCUAAUACCGCAUAAGCGCACAACAUCGCAUGAUGCAGUGUGAAAAGUUUUUCGGUAUAAGAUGGACCCGCGUCUGAUUAGCUAGUUGGUGAGGUAACGGCCCACCAAGGCGACGAUCAGUAGCCGACCUGAGAGGGUGACCGGCCACAUUGGGACUGAGACACGGCCCAAACUCCUACGGGAGGCAGCAGUGGGGAAUAUUGCACAAUGGGCGAAAGCCUGAUGCAGCGACGCCGCCAUGAGCGAAGAAGUAUUUCGGUAUGUAAAGCUCUAUCAGCAGGGAAGAUAAUGACGGUACCUGACUAAGAAGCACCGGCUAAAUACGUGCCAGCAGCUGC